UGGUUGAUCCUGCCAGUAGUCAUAUGCUUGUCUCAAAGAUUAAGCCAUGCAUGUCUAAGUAUAAGCAAACUAUACUGUGAAACUGCGAAUGGCUCAUUAAAUCAGUUAUCGUUUAUUUGAUAGUACCUUACUACAUGGACAACUGUGUUAAUUCUAGAGCUAAUACAUGCUAAAAACCUCGACUUCGGAAGGGGUGUAUUUAUUAGAUAAAAAACCAAUGCCCUUCGGGGCUCCUUGGUUAUUCAUAAUAACUUAACGGAUCGCAUGGCCUUGUGCCGGCGAUGGUUCAUUCAAAUUUCUGCCCUAUCAACUUUCGAUGUUUGGGUAUUGGCCUAACAUGGUUUCAACGGGUAACGGGGAAUUAGGGUUCUAUUCCGGAGAAGCAGCCUGAGAAACGGCUACUACAUCCAAGGAAGGCAGCAGGCGCGCAAAUUACCCAAUCGCAAUUCGCGGAGGUAGUGACAAUAAAUACUGAUACAGGGCUCUUUUGGGUCUUGUAAUUGGAAUGAGUACAAUUUAAAUCCCUUAACGAGGAACAAUUGGAGGGCAAGUCUGGU
rnacentral:rRNA from 1 species